rnacentral:lncRNA from 1 species
AGCAAUGUAGAUCAAAAGAGAUACUUGUUCAUGAGCAAAAUGGAACAUUGGGACAUAGUAGAACAUGUUUAGGUAGAAGUUGGAUUGGAAAAACAAGGUUUAGGCCACUGAAUUGGAUUAACAAGUGAGAUCGACACCACUGUCGAUAACUGACGAACUGAAUCUCUGAUUCAGUCGAAUUCAGAACCAACUCGAGCAACAUCUCCAAAAUUCCACUGGUUUGAUGAUUAUCUUGGGACGGAGCCAAAACAAAAGAUGGAGAAUUUGAGUUUAUCUGUAACUUUCUUUAAGCAUCGGUGUGCCGUUCGAUCAAAGAUCAACCACGACGCGGCUCUGAAGGUCACGGGCGGUGACAGAGCUCCAGACGUGUCGCCGCCGCCGUCGUCGGUCGACCGCCAGGGCAACCAGCUAGGCCACCUCCUCACCACGCAAGCCUACGGGUAGGCCACGGUGUCGUCCAUGCGAGGGGUGAAUCGCUUGAAUAGUUACUGUUCCCGCGCCACCGUUUCACUGCCUCCCCUUUUUACCGCCGCCCGCUCUCCUCUGUCAAGCUUCACCGCCAAGCAAAAUUCCGCCGCAACAUCUCAUCUCCCGUCGAUUCCUCUCGCCCACUCCUCCACAGACACCCUAGCUUCACCCCGAGCCAGUCGUUGUCCCACAUCCUUGCCGGAAUAGCCGUGCUCGCCGCCGCUUCUGUCCGCCGCCGUCACGCCGCCCGCUCACGGUGAGAACCACCUUGCGCUAUCUCUCUUUCUCCCUGAGUAGUUGUAGUCGAGUCCUUGGGGUCCUAGGAUGGUGUAGGGGUAGAUGUUUGAGUCAGUUAAGUCGAUGUCGCAAGAAGCCACGGCCGGCCGAGGGAGUCGCCGCCUGUCGCCGUGGAGGGGAUGGCUCCGGCCAUCUCCCGGGGAGCUGUUGCCGCGCACGAGGUCGUGUAGGUCUAGG